rnacentral:rRNA from 1 species
ACGAACGCUGGCGGCGUGCCUAAUACAUGCCAGUUGAGCGCUGAAGGUUGGUACUUGUACCAACUGGAUGAGCAGCGAACGGGUGAGUAACGCGUGGGGAAUCUGCCUUUGAGCGGGGGACAACAUUUGGAAACGAAUGCUAAUACCGCAUAAAAACUUUAAACACAAGUUUUAAGUUUGAAAGAUGCAAUUGCAUCACUCAAAGAUGAUCCCGCGUUGUAUUAGCUAGUUGGUGAGGUAAAGGCUCACCAAGGCGAUGAUACAUAGCCGACCUGAGAGGGUGAUCGGCCACAUUGGGACUGAGGCACGGCCCAAACUCCUACGGGAGGCAGCAGUAGGGAAUCUUCGGCAAUGGACGAAAGUCUGACCGAGCAACGCCGCGUGAGUGAAGAAGGUUUUCGGAUCGUAAAACUCUGUUGGUAGAGAAGAACGUUGGUGAGAGUGGAAAGCUCAUCAAGUGACGGUAACUACCCAGAAAGGGACGGCUAACUACGUG